rnacentral:rRNA from 1 species
CCUACGGGUGGCAGCAGUCGAGAAUUAUUCACAAUGGGGGAAACCCUGAUGGUGCGACGCCGCGUGGGGGAAUGAAGGUCUUCGGAUUGUAAACCCCUGUCAUGUGGGAGCAAAUUAAAAAGAUAGUACCACAAGAGGAAGAGACGGCUAACUCUGUGCCAGCAGCCGCGGUAAUACAGAGGUCUCAAGCGUUGUUCGGAAUCACGGGGCGUAAGGCGUGCGUAGGCUGUUUCGUAAGUCGUGUGUGAAAGGCGCGGGCUCAACCCGCGGACGGCACAUGAUACUGCGAGACUAGAGUAAUGGAGGGGGAACCGGAAUUCUCGGUGUAGCAGUGAAAUGCGUAGAUAUCGAGAGGAACACUCGUGGCGAAGGCGGGUUCCUGGACAUUAACUGACGCUGAGGCACGAAGGCCAGGGGAGCGAAAGGGAUUAGAUACCCGGGUAGUC